rnacentral:rRNA from 1 species
AGUCAAGUAAUUAAGUGCAUGUGGUGGAUGCCUUGGCAGUCAGAGGCGAUGAAAGACGUGAUAGCCUGCGAAAAGCUCCGGGGAGGCGGCAAAUAUCCUUUGAUCCGGAGAUGUCUGAAUGGGGGAACCCACCUACUUUAAGGUAGGUAUUGCAACAUGAAUACAUAGUGUUGCAAGGCGAACGAGGGGAAGUGAAACAUCUCAGUACCCUUAGGAAAAGAAAUCAAUUGAGAUUCCCUCAGUAGCGGCGAGCGAACGGGGAUCAGCCCAUUAAGUUAUGUGUGUUUUAGUGGAACGCUCUGGGAAGUGCGAACGUAGAGGGUGAUAUUCCCGUACACGAAAGGGCACACAUAAUGAUGACGAGUAGGGCGAGGCACGUGAAACCUUGUCUGAAUAUGGGGGGACCAUCCUCCAAGGCUAAAUACUCCUGACUGACCGAUAGUGAACCAGUACCGUGAGGGAAAGGCGAAAAGAACCCCUGUGAGGGGAGUGAAAUAGAUCCUGAAACCGCAUGCAUACAAGCAGUGGGAGCACCUUCGUGGUGUGACUGCGUACCUUUUGUAUAAUGGGUCAGCGACUUAUAUUCAGUAGCAAGGUUAACCGUAUAGGGGAGCCGUAGAGAAAUCGAGUCUUAAUAGGGCGUUUAGUUGCUGGGUAUAGACCCGAAACCAGGCGAUCUAUCCAUGAGCAGGUUGAAGGUUGGGUAACACUAACUGGAGGACCGAACCCACUGUCGUUGAAAAGCCAGGGGAUGACUUGUGGAUAGGGGUGAAAGGCUAAUCAAGCCUGGUGAUAGCUGGUUCUCCCCGAAAGCUAUUUAGGUAGCGCCUCGGACGAAUACCAUAGGGGGUAGAGCACUGUUUCGGCUAGGGGGUCAUCCCGACUUACCAAACCGAUGCAAACUCCGAAUACCUAUGAGUACUAUCCGGGAGACAGACUGCGGGUGCUAACGUCCGUAGUCAAGAGGAAAACAAUCCAGACCGCCAGCUAAGGCCCCAAAAUCAUAGUUAAGUGGGAAACGAUGUGGGAAGGCAUAGACAGCUAGGAGGUUGGCUUAGAAGCAGCCACCCUUUAAAGAAAGCGUAAUAGCUCACUAGUCGAGUCGGCCUGCGCGGAAGAUGUAACGGGGCUAAAACUAUGUGCCGAAGCUGCGGAUNNNNNNNNNNNNNNNNNNNNNAUGCUGGAGGUAUCAGAAGUGCGAAUGCUGACGUGAGUAACGACAAAACGGGUGAAAAACCCGUUCGCCGAAAGACCAAGGGUUCCAGUCCAACGUUAAUCGGGGCUGGGUGAGUCGACCCCUAAGGCGAGGCCGAAAGGCGUAGUCGAUGGGAAAAUGGUUAAUAUUCCAUUACUUCUGUGUAAUGCGAUGAGAGGACGGAGAAGGCUAAAUCAGCCUGGCGUUGGUUGUCCAGGUGAAAGGAUGUAGGCAUGUAUCUUAGGCAAAUCCGGGGUACUCUAUGCUGAGAUCUGAUAGCAAGCUGUACUUGUACAGCGAAGUGGUUGAUGCCAUGCUUCCAGGAAAAGUCUCUAAGCUUCAGUUACACAGGAAUCGUACCCGAAACCGACACAGGUGGUCAGGUCGAGUAGACCAAGGCGCUUGAGAGAACUCUGCUGAAGGAACUAGGCAAAAUGGUACCGUAACUUCGGGAGAAGGUACGCUGUUGUUGGUGAUGGAACUCGCUUCCUGAGCUGACGACAGCCGCAGAAACCAGGCCGCUGCAACUGUUUAUUAAAAACAUAGCACUCUGCAAACACGAAAGUGGACGUAUAGGGUGUGAUGCCUGCCCGGUGCUGGAAGGUUAAUUGAUGGGGUUAGCGUAAGCGAAGCUCUUGAUCGAAGCCCCAGUAAACGGCGGCCGUAACUAUAACGGUCCUAAGGUAGCGAAAUUCCUUGUCGGGUAAGUUCCGACCUGCACGAAUGGCAUAAUGAUGGCGGCGCUGUCUCCAGCAGAGGCUCAGUGAAAUCGAAAUCGCUGUGAAGAUGCAGUGUACCCGCGGCUAGACGGAAAGACCCCGUGAACCUUUACUGCAGCUUGACACUGAACUUUGACCUUACUUGUGUAGGAUAGGUGGGAGGCUUUGAAGCUGGAACGCUAGUUCCAGUGGAGCCGUCCUUGAAAUACCACCCUGGUAAUGUUGAGGUUCUAACUCUGUCCCGUGAUCCGGGACGAGGACCGUGUCUGGUGGGUAGUUUGACUGGGGCGGUCUCCUCCUAAAGAGUAACGGAGGAGUACGAAGGUGCGCUCAGCGUGGUCGGAAAUCACGCGUAGAGUAUAAAGGCAAAAGCGCGCUUAACUGCGAGACCCACAAGUCGAGCAGGUACGAAAGUAGGUCUUAGUGAUCCGGUGGUUCUGUAUGGAAGGGCCAUCGCUCAACGGAUAAAAGGUACUCUGGGGAUAACAGGCUGAUACCGCCCAAGAGUUCAUAUCGACGGCGGUGUUUGGCACCUCGAUGUCGGCUCAUCUCAUCCUGGGGCUGAAGCAGGUCCCAAGGGUAUGGCUGUUCGCCAUUUAAAGAGGUACGCGAGCUGGGUUUAGAACGUCGUGAGACAGUUCGGUCCCUAUCUACCGUGGGCGCUGGAAAUUUGAGAGGAUCUGCUCCUAGUACGAGAGGACCAGAGUGGACGAACCUCUGGUGUACCGGUUGUGACGCCAGUCGCAUCGCCGGGUAGCUAUGUUCGGAAGGGAUAACCGCUGAAAGCAUCUAAGCGGGAAGCCUACCUCAAGAUAAGAUUUCCCUAGGACUUUAUGUCCUCUAAAGAGCCGUUCGAGACUAGGACGUUGAUAGGUUGGAUGUGGAAGCAUAGUGAUAUGUGAAGCUGACCAAUACUAAUUGCUCGUGAGGCUUGACUAU